CAACUGAGUCCAAGCGUUGGUGCCCAUGCACAACUCAGCAACGUUGAAGAAAGCUUUUCGCGUUUCGAUGUGCAACGCUCUUCGACGUUCUCUUUUUCAAGCCGCCUUCGCCUCUUGCGUCCGUGGCAUCUAGACGCCGUCUAUCAUUCAGCCUUCACAUCGAUCCCCCCAAUAUGCGCUCGAAAUGGAAACGAGGGAAUUGAAAUUGACACGAGGAAAACUAACUGUAAUAGAGUCUCAACGUGAACGAGUAUUGGAUUCUCCUUUUGUUGAUUUCAAAUCCUACUGCUUCUUCCCGAAUCUUCCGCCACCGUAUACGCUGAUGUGAAUCAAGUCUUCGUUAAUCCUCUAACUUCCAGGUGAAUUUCUUUUGCAGGAUGAACAAAUUUGAUCAAGGGGCAAUGUCCUUCUGCAGUGCCGGAACUUCACCGUCCUCUAUCAAACAAUGUUAUCCUCCAUGUUAAAAUCACGUUUACCAUCGAACUGGUCUCGGUUCCCUUGGAAACUAAAGGUGAGAUGAUCUUGAUCCUCCUUGGUUGGACCAGUACCCGAAUUUCUUUCUAGAAAGUCGUGGACUUUCAUGUUGGGUGCGGCCUUUCUCCGUAGAUUGUCAGCAUUACCUUUGUUAGGAUUAUUAAACUCCUCAGAAUCGACUUCUUCUUUAGAAAGGUCAGGUUCAAUGGUUCCUUCUUGAAGAGCUCGUGAUAGAGAAUGAUGAACAUGAUCGCGACAUUGCAGCAUUGGCCAGAGAUGCAGGUUGACAUGUUAUCCUCAUAUGGCUUGGGCAGCUCCAACUCUUCUUGUGUUUCUACUGAGGCGGAGAGUGACAUGGUUUAUUCAUUUUUUAUAUAUUUGAAUGCUUAUUGGUUAAUGUAUUUGCAAUUCCUAAAACCACCCUAUGACUGUUAUCUUUGAUUUAACAGAAUUGGCAGGUGCAUAGGGUAAUUCUGAGUUGCGAAUGGUUAAAUGAAUUUAUCGAGUUUGGAAUGUCAUGUCAUAUCCGUUUUCUGAGGGAGGUUUAUGAGAGAGUUUUGGUUAUCCUCUUGGUUUAGAUUAGGCUUGUAAUGACGAAAUGCUGACUUUGUUCUAUGAAAUCUGCAGGUUUUGCCCAAGUAGAAUUCAAAUGAACUCCAACCGUUAGUCGCCCUUUGCACAUGUAAUGAAAUUCUACUUUCAGUGAGAUGAAUGACGACUAGUCGUGCUAAAAAAUUACGUGUCUAAUCUGAACUGUUGGGAGGUUCUCUUGUUGCAAAUCGAUGGAUAUGCAGGGCUACAGCUAUGCCUAUGCAGGGCGGCUUGGCAUGAUCGAUGGAAGGCUUAUGGGACUCUUAUUUGAUGGCUGAUUUGGGCUCAAGUUUGAGAAUGACGCAUGGUUCGAAUUCAUGCCAAGUGAGCUAGCGUCGUGUUAGUGGCUAAUAAAGGUUUGUGUUAAUGAAUGAGAAAAUGUCAUCUCUGCUACAUCCGUACUGCCUGACAUUUAUCAGUUAGUUAGGAAGUGAAAUUAGAUUAAUUGGAGUGUGGUUGCUUUAGUCUGUUCAUUCCUUGGAUUAUCGGUUAAAAUGAGUGAGGAUGGUGUACCAAUAAGCUUGGUAGCAUAAAGUUCUGCAUGAUAUUUAACCGGUCAAUUAAGCCAGGGAUGAUUAAACACGAUACUGCAUGCUUGAGUGGAAGAUCCUUGGAAGAAUAACACAAUGCAAUCUAGCUUAAUAUCCACCACAACGAGUCUGGCUUCUUCCAGGACUGGAAGGUAUCCACCACAAGGUUUUGUACAGCAUGAACUAUAUGGAAGGAUUUCUAACCAUGACCAAUGUUGGUAAUACACACCCUCCCUAAAUCUCCAGAUUUGUCACAAACUUCUUGAAUGACAUGGCUAGUUCCAUAAGCAUGAGGCUCAACAGUAGGAAGCGAUUUUUGUUCAGUGGCGUCGGACAGCCGCGGAUAUGGGACAGUUCUCCUCAACUCCUUUUUUAUACGACUGUAUGCGAGUAGCAACUAGCCAUAUCAGAUUUUUCAGUAGCACAUUAACACAACCGAAUAAAGUCGCGACAAUAAGCGAGGGUAACAUUCCAACUGAAAUGUUACCAUUGUCUAACAUUUUCUCCUCUAAUGUAGCUGCUCCAACUUGGUUCCUGACUAUCUGCUUGAACGUCUCAAGACCCUUAUUGUUCUUCUUCGGAUCACGAUCGGCUUGUUGGCCUUGGCUUAAAAUGCUUAUGGUGUUUCUCCAUCAUAAGUCCUAGUGGAAUCCUCAUCCUGACCAUUGGAAACUCCAAUACCUUUACAACCCUUAUUAGUUGUAAAUUUGUAUCUUGGAUUUUCAAAUGAAAUGUUAAUUUGAAUCAUCUUUGUAAUGCAAGUAUGACGAAAUAAAUUAUGAACAAUUUUGGAAUUUGGAA